ACGGGACUCAGGCCUCAACCUCUACUUCUGGGUAUAUAAGGCACACUGGUUGCCUCUUGAUCCCAAAGGUCUGGCCACAUAGCCCUCUCUGUACAGUUACUGUCUCUUUGUACAUGCAGGCCUAUAGAAACAGCUUCCCCACUGCUAGUUUAGGGUGCUGCUCUGAUGUCCCGAAUCCUCUGCCCAACUUUCUUAAACACCGACUCCAUCUUUAUCAAAUUCUCCUUAAACCACCUGUCUAAGAGCACUCUCUGGGAGGACCUGACAGGUGCACUCCGGGGGCACCAUGGAAGGACAUUACUCCCCAGUGACAAGCCAGUAGAAGCCAGGGAUCUCUUGCUGUGCAGGCUUAGGCCCAACUGGAAAUCCAGGAUCUGCCAACCAACCCCCAGUGCCACGAGUCUGAGACACAUCAAGGUACUCCUGGCCUUGGACACUAGUGUCCGCCUUCACUAGGAGGGCCAGCUCCACGUAUGGCUCAUCUGCCGCCCAAAGGGAUGUGGUACAGAUCCUCUGCAUACGGGUAGAAUGGCCCCUUUGUCAGCCUCCUCUGUGAACCCAGUUAUUUUUAAGCAUAAAGUUCUUCUAUGGUCAGAGUGGGUAGUUUUCUACUUAACCCGGCUUAGCAGAAUG